rnacentral:rRNA from 1 species
CCUACGGGGGGCUGCAGUAGGGAAUAUUGGACAAUGGGCGCAAGCCUGAUCCAGCAAUGCCGCGUGAGUGAUGAAGGCCUUAGGGUUGUAAAGCUCUUUUACCCGGGAUGAUAAUGACAGUACCGGGAGAAUAAGCUCCGGCUAACUCCGUGCCAGCAGCCGCGGUAAUACGGAGGGAGCUAGCGUUGUUCGGAAUUACUGGGCGUAAAGCGCACGUAGGCGGCGAUUUAAGUCAGAGGUGAAAGCCCGGGGCUCAACCCCGGAAUAGCCUUUGAGACUGGAUUGCUUGAAUCCGGGAGAGGUGAGUGGAAUUCCGAGUGUAGAGGUGAAAUUCGUAGAUAUUCGGAAGAACACCAGUGGCGAAGGCGGCUCACUGGACCGGCAUUGACGCUGAGGUGCGAAAGCGUGGGGAGCAAACAGGAUUAGAUACCCUAGUAGUC